UGUGAAAAAGUUUUUGCAAAAAGGCGAUAAAGUGAAGUUGACGAUCCGUUUCCGCGGACGCGAAAUCACCCAUCAGGAGCUCGGCCGCAAAAUCCUGGAUCGCAUGGCCGAUGAAGUGAAAGACAUCUCGGAAAUCGAACGCCAACCCAAACUGGAAGGCCGGCAAAUGAUUAUGAUUUUAACGCCGAAACAGUAGUCGCAAGGAGGAAAACCCAUGCCAAAAAUGAAAACGAAAAAAUCCGCAGCCAAGCGUUUCAAAAAAACGGGAACCGGUAAAGUGAAGCGCA
rnacentral:misc_RNA from 1 species